rnacentral:rRNA from 1 species
AUGAACGCUGGCGGCGUGCCUCAUCCAUGCCAGUCGCGCGAACAGACGAGGAGCUUGCUCCUCUGACGUUAGCGGCGGACGGGUGAGUAACCCGUGGAUAACCUACCUAUAAGACUGGGAUAACUUCGGGAAACCGGAGCUAAUACCGGAUAAUAUCUUGAACCGCAUGGUUCAAUAGUGAAAGACGGUUUUGCUGUCACUUAUAGAUGGAUCCGCGCCGCAUUAGCUAGUUGGUAAGGUAACGGCUUACCAAGGCAACGAUGCGUAGCCGACCUGAGAGGGUGAUCGGCCACACUGGAACUGAGACACGGUCCAGACUCCUACGGGAGGCAGCAGUAGGGAAUCUUCCGCAAUGGGCGAAAGCUUGACGGAGCAACGCCGCGUGAGUGAUGAAGGUCUUCGGAUCGUAAAACUCUGUUAUUAGGGAAGAACAAAUGUGUAAGUAACUAUGCACGUCUUGACGGUACCUAAUCAGAAAGCCACGGCUAACUACGUG